UACGUAGGGUGCAAGCGUUGUCCGGAAUUAUUGGGCGUAAAGAGCUCGUAGGCGGUUUGUCGCGUCUGCUGUGAAAACUCGGGGCUUAACCCCGGGCCUGCAGUGGGUACGGGCAGACUAGAGUGCGGUAGGGGUGACUGGAAUUCCUGGUGUAGCGGUGGAAUGCGUAGAUAUCAGGAGGAACACCGAUGGCGAAGGCAGGUCACUGGGCCGCAACUGACGCUGAGGAGCGAAAGCAUGGGGAGCGAACAGG
rnacentral:rRNA from 1 species